rnacentral:lncRNA from 1 species
GAGGGAGUACAUCUGCAUAGACAUGCAUAACUUUAGAAAUACGUAGUUUUAAAGUUUUUAAUUACAAGUAAAUGAUUUUAGAGUUGUUAUUAAAAAAUUUGAGGUGUAGGAAGGUUUUAAUAUAGCACUGGAAAAUUUCAAAUUUAAGGUCCAUUAUUUUACUCGUAAAUGUACACGUUAUGUAAUUUGAUCAGAAAGUUAGAGACUUAGUAAGUUUUGAAUGUGUCAAGUUUUUACUUCUAAGUACAAAGGUUUCAAUAUGUGGCUUAAAAUCCAGAGAUGUACGAAGCGUGGACCAUAUUAUUUGAAAGUUUUAAAUCCCACGUACAAAAGAUUCAAUAUACAUCCUGAAAAUACAUGAUGUUUUGAAUUCCAAGUACAAGGUAGGUUUUGAUACGUUCUUACAAGAUCGAGAUGCAGGAAGUUUUUGAAUAGGCUAUUUCAAGUUUUAAGGUGCUAGAUAAAAAAGUUUUGAUACGUGGUUUAGGAUAUGGAGAUAUUGAAGUUUCGAAAUGUAGAUUUGAUUUUUUUAGUUCGGUGUAGAAGUUUUGAUAUGUCGUUUAAUAGAGAUACGUUGGAAAUUUGGAAUAUAGCAUGUCAACGUUUUGUAAUCAAGUAGGAAGGUUUUUGAUUCGCGACUCCAAAAUUAGAGAUAUAUAAAAUUUCAAAUAUGUUUUUUUAAGUGUUUAAAAUACAAGUAAUAGCCAAAUCUGCCUGCGAGAAGAGGUCUAGCAUCGAGCCGUGCCGAUCCUUCCCGUCCAACGCCUCCACAGGCCCACAGGCUCGCUCCUCCCACGGUCCCACCUCAUCGGCUAGCCCUCUCGGCCUCUCCUGCCUGCCUCCUCUAAUCUCGCCGCCGGCCUCCACACCCCGAUUCGAUCACCACUCACCAGGGAUUGGAACGAAGGAGUAAUCCAAUCAGGAUCGGAAUCUGAAAAGCGGACUGCAGCAGCGUGGUUUCU